GACGAACGCUGGCGGCGUGCUUAACACAUGCAAGUCGAACGGAAAGGCCCUGCUUUUGUGGGGUGCUCGAGUGGCGAACGGGUGAGUAACACGUGAGUAACCUGCCCUUGACUUUGGGAUAACUUCAGGAAACUGGGGCUAAUACCGGAUAGGAGCUCCUGCUGCAUGGUGGGGGUUGGAAAGUUUCGGCGGUUGGGGAUGGACUCGCGGCUUAUCAGCUUGUUGGUGGGGUAGUGGCUUACCAAGGCUUUGACGGGUAGCCGGCCUGGGAGGGUGACCGGCCACAUUGGGACUGAGGUACGGACCAGACUCCUACGGGAGGCAGCAGUGGGGAAUAUUGCACAAUGGGCGGAAGCCUGAUGCAGCAACGCCGCGUGCGGGAUGACGGCCUUCGGGUUGUAAACCGCUUUCGCCUGUGACGAAGCGUGAGUGACGGUAAUGGAUAAAGAAGCACCGGCUAACUACGUG
rnacentral:rRNA from 1 species